rnacentral:lncRNA from 1 species
UUCACUUAAGCCAAAAACGGUUCAAGCCGUUGUUUGCUUGGAUGAUUGGAUGCGAGCUAAGGGAUUUUCAGCAGGUAAUUGUUAUUCUCAUUUUAUUGUUCGAAUUUUUUAUUAUUUUUUCAUCAAUUUGAUUAUCUAAUUCUUUAUUCUUAUUUAAUGUUAGAAAUUGGUUGCAAAAAGGACGAUGAGGACGAUGAGGAUGAUGAUGUUUCUUCGGUAGCUUUUUAAGAUACUUUCUUUCUAAAUGUUUAAAAUUUAAUUUAGCUUACAAUUUAUAUUUUGUUAUGAAAUUAAAUAUGUUGAUGGAUUAAGGUAUGAAUAUUAUGGUUUGUUGCUUAAUUUUCC